ensembl:snoRNA SNORD58 Small nucleolar RNA SNORD58
GUACAAUGAUGACAAACUUAGGACACCUUUUGUAGGCAAUGACCAAUGAAAACAAACCAUGUUCUGAGUACA